rnacentral:rRNA from 1 species
GAUGAACGCUGGCGGCGUGCCUAAUACAUGCAAGUCGAGCGAACAGACGAGGAGCUUGCUCCUCUGACGUUAGCGGCGGACGGGUGAGUAACACGUGGAUAACCUACCUAUAAGACUGGGAUAACUUCGGGAAACCGGAGCUAAUACCGGAUAAUAUAUUGAACCGCAUGGUUCAAUAGUGAAAGACGGUUUUGCUGUCACUUAUAGAUGGAUCCGCGCCGCAUUAGCUAGUUGGUAAGGUAACGGCUUACCAAGGCGACGAUGCGUAGCCGACCUGAGAGGGUGAUCGGCCACACUGGAACUGAGACACGGUCCAGACUCCUACGGGAGGCACCAGUAGGGAAUCUUCCGCAAAGGGCGAAAGCCUGACGGAGCAACGCCGCGUGAGUGAUGAAGGUCUUCGGAUCGUAAAACUCUGUUAUUAGGGAAGAACAAAUGUGUAAGUAACUAUGCACGUCUUGACGGUACCUAAUCAGAAAGCCACGGCUAACUACGUG